ACAAGUGAGGAUCCUGUAGCAAUAUUAAAAAAAAAAAAGGAACUCAACUUUGCAACUGGCUAAAGAAAGAGUAACCUUGAACCUACAUACCACACCCAGUAACUUUUUUUUCUGAGACAGUGCUUAGUUAGACGGACUUCAUGUUCAAGGUGACAGACUGGCAGUAAUGAAAUGUGAACUUUUCCACUUCUCUUCAAAAUCACAAGCAACAACACAGGGAACUUCUCACACUGUCCAGUUCAAUUUCCUUCUCACUUAAUUAUAGAUCAAGAGUAACUCCACUACAAUUAAUUAAGUUACAUCAGAGGCUGACAAGAGAAGUAGCAGUCUGUCUACAGCAUGACACAAGGGAAAGACUGCUCUCCCACCACGGCCAUUCAUUUUUAGCAGCAAAGAACAUUAGCCCAUUACAAUUGCACUAAUGACCAGAGCCAUUCAAUCAAAGAGCAAUUAAAGUUCUGUAAAAUUCAAGUCCUGAAGUCCAAUCCUACUUUUUAGGAAAGCACCUUAAUGAACAAUGUAAAGACAAGCCUCAGAGCAGAGCUCUCCGGUCUUCCUUUUUAAACUGACACAAGAGCCAUAAGCACAGGAAAGGAUGGACAAACAAAAUGUUGGCAAACACCCAACAUUUACUGGACAAAAUGAGAAUACCCCCAUUUUUUUGCUUUUUUUUUUUUUUUAUUUGCUCCUCCACAGCCACAGUACUGAGUUCAUAUUUAAUUCCCCGUUUUCAUUGCGGAAGGAAUGAAAUGCUCUGGUGAAUUAACCCCAAUGUACAACAUCCACUCCAGAACCAAGCAAGAUAUCAGACAUAAGAUGGAACCACAAGAAGUGAGCUUGUCCAAACUCAUUUACACUAACUCCCACUCCACUCCAAAAUGCAGCCCACAGAGGAUGUCUUUAAUGCUGUGGAACAGUUCUUUUUCUCCACUCCAGUAAAGUUCUGCAGGUAAAUGAAGAGUCUUUUUCUGCAGAAAACUGAAGAGGGUUUUUGUGCCUUAACUAAACCUGAC
rnacentral:lncRNA from 1 species